ACACUCGUCUUGUACAGUGUCUUAGUGGUUUUGUCGGUCACACUGGUUGAACUCCAACUUAGGCCCAUCGCCAAAUCGAUCUUCGUCCACUACCAAAUUCGCCCCACAGUUUGACGAGCUGACCUCGGUGAUGGCUCCAAUUGGUUGUUACUGUAGUGUUAAGACAACUAUCAUAUUGCUGCCCUGCUAAUCAUGGUCAAUGAAGUUCCUCGUGUCAUUCAUCGAGGACUGUGACGUGAAGAUGUAAGAUGUGGGCCACAAUGACCACAAGACGAAGGUUUGUUUUGGUUAACGGGUCUCUUGCUGCACCACAUUGGAAACUUUCUGCUAUAACAUAAGGAACAUUCCACAACAAUAUUGAUCAUAGUUCAAGUUAGUGAUCAAAUAUUACAGGUUAUACCUACUAAUUCUGCCGUGAGUAUUGUCCAGUGAAUUGUUCUUAUAAUGGACUUGCGUAAGUGGUUUAUUCCACAUUGAUAAAGGUUCAUAUAGGUGGAUAGUGGAGUGUUGACCCACGUUAGCCUCCAAUAUGGGGGGGGGGGGGUUAAGGUUGUCACCAGGGAAGGUCGCUAAAGGUUCUUAAAUAUCUUCAGUGAUCCCUCAAUUAACGAACACAAUUGGUUCCACAGAGUCGUUCGUUAACUGAAUCUAUAUACUGUAGUGUUAUAUAUUAAUAAAAUAUUAAUAAAUAAAAUGUUAUUCUUUAAAUUUAUUUUAGUAAAAUUGUAAAUGCUGUCAAGCUAUACGGUUCUCAAACCACUGACUUAAGUUUAGUUUAAUGUUAAUAUAUAUCUAUUAGCGGGAAUUUAAUCAUUAAUAAAACAUUAUAAUUAAAGGAUAAUUUAUUUGUAUUGUGUAAUAUUUAUUAAUAAAAUACUUUUAUUAUAGUAUUAAUAAUGAAAACUUGUAAUAACUGAAAGAUAAGAGAAAGAGCCAGACAAGGUGUAGAGGUCGACAACAACCAACUUGGCUGGCUUGUUUAUUUUUGUUAAUUAUGUUAGUAAAUGUAAAUUUGUGGGCUUUCCUCCCUUCCUCUUGGUAAAGGUAAUAAAUGUUUUAUUUAUGUCGUUGUUAUAAACAUACAUUUGAAUGAGUGAGUUAAAGGUUGGUUAUCCGAGAUGGUCCGAGUUGGUAUUUGAUGGGCCGAGUUGGAGGCGCAGUGGUCACACUAUAAUAAACUGUUCUAGUACAUCCUUUUUUACUCACACAGCCAAACUGUGUCUGUGUGGAUGUCGGUCACACUAUAAUAACCCGUUA
rnacentral:lncRNA from 1 species